UACAGAGGGGGCAAGCGUUAUUCGGAAUUAUUGGGCGUAAAGGGCGCGUAGGCGGCUUUGCAAGUGACGGGUGAAAGCCCUCGGCUUAACCGAGGAACUGCCUGUCAGACUGUGAGGCUUGAGACCGGGAGAGGUGAGUGGAAUUCCCAGUGUAGCGGUGAAAUGCGUAGAUAUUGGGAGGAACACCAGUGGCGAAGGCGGCUCACUGGACCGGAACUGACGCUGAGGCACGAAGGCCAGGGGAGCAAACGGG
rnacentral:rRNA from 1 species